rnacentral:rRNA from 1 species
GAUGAACGCUAGCUACAGGCUUAACACAUGCAAGUCGAGGGGUAACAAGAGAAAAGCUUGCUUUUCUUGUUGACGACCGGCGCACGGGUGUGUAACGCGUAUCCAACCUGCCUAUAACUAGGGAAUAACCUUGCGAAAGUAAGACUAAUACCCUAUGAUUUCCUUUGAUGACAUCAGAUUAGGAAUAAAGAUUUAUCGGUUAUAGAUGGGGAUGCGUCUGAUUAGCUUGUUGGCGGGGUAACGGCCCACCAAGGCAACGAUCAGUAGGGGUUCUGAGAGGAAGGUCCCCCACAUUGGAACUGAGACACGGUCCAAACUCCUACGGGAGGCAGCAGUGAGGAAUAUUGGUCAAUGGGCGGAAGCCUGAACCAGCCAAGUAGCGUGCAGGAUGACGGCCCUAUGGGUUGUAAACUGCUUUUAUACAGGAAUAAAGUUAGCCACGUGUGGUUAUUUGUAGGUACUGUAUGAAUAAGCACCGGCUAACUUCGUGCCAGCCGCCGCGGUAA